rnacentral:lncRNA from 1 species
CCCACGCACAUUUUUAACAUUUUGAAGUGAUGGUUAUUAUUUAUGUUUUAAAUUAUUGUGUUUGGUUUGAAUUUCUUUUGUUUAAUAAAAUUUUGGUUGUUGAGGGUCAAACCUAGCACAUUUUUAACAUUUUGAAGUGAUGGUUAUUAUUUAUGUUUUAAAUUAUUGUGUUUGGUUUGAAUUUCUUUUGUUUAAUAAAAUUUUGGUUGUUGAGGGUCAAACCUUC